rnacentral:rRNA from 1 species
GCCCUUAGAGUUUGAUCCUGGCUCAGAACGAACGCUGGCGGCGUGCUUAACACAUGCAAGUCGUACGAGAAACCGGAACUUCGGUUCCGGGAGUAAAGUGGCGCACGGGUGAGUAACGCGUGGGUAAUCUACCCUUGGGUUUGGAAUAACCCCGCCGAAAGGCGGACUAAUACCGGAUAAAAUCUUUCAGAGGGAUCUGAAAGAUCAAAGGUGGCCUCUCCAUGGAUGCUACUGCCUGAGGAUGAGCCUGCGUCCCAUUAGCUUGUUGGUAGGGUAAUGGCCUACCAAGGCUACGAUGGGUAGCUGGUCUGAGAGGAUGACCAGCCACACUGGAACUGGAACACGGUCCAGACUCCUACGGGAGGCAGCAGUGAGGAAUAUUGCGCAAUGGGGGAAACCCUGACGCAGCGACGCCGCGUGGGUGAAGAAGGCCUUCGGGUCGUAAAGCCCUGUCUAGAGGGAAGAAAUUCUCAAUGGAAUAAUACCCAUUGAGAUUGACGGUACCUCUGGAGGAAGCACCGGCUAACUCCGUGCCAGCAGCCGCGGUAAUACGGAGGGUGCGAGCGUUGUUCGGAAUUACUGGGCGUAAAGCGGGUGUAGGCGGUUUGUUAAGUCAGAUGUGAAAGCCCACGGCUCAACCGUGGAAGUGCAUCUGAAACUGGCAGACUUGAGUACCGGAGAGGGAAGUGGAAUUCCUGGUGUAGGGGUGAAAUCCGUAGAUAUCAGGAGGAACACCGGUGGCGAAGGCGACUUCCUGGACGGAUACUGACGCUGAGAUCCGAAAGCGUGGGGAGCAAACAGGAUUAGAUACCCUGGUAGUCCACGCCCUAAACGAUGGGCACUAGGUGCAGGGGGUGUUGACCCCUCCUGUGCCGCAGCUAACGCAUUAAGUGCCCCGCCUGGGGAGUACGGCCGCAAGGUUGAAACUCAAAGGAAUUGACGGGGGCCCGCACAAGCGGUGGAGCAUGUGGUUCAAUUCGACGCAACGCGAAGAACCUUACCGGGACUUGACAUUAUCUUGCCCGUCUAAGAAAUUAGAUCUUCUUCCUUUUGGAAGACGAGAUAACAGGUGGUGCAUGGUUGUCGUCAGCUCGUGUCGUGAGAUGUUGGGUUAAGUCCCACAACGAGCGCAACCCUUAUGCUUAGUUGCUAACUUGUUUUACAAGUGCACUCUAAGCAGACUGCCGCAGAUAAUGCGGAGGAAGGUGGGGAUGACGUCAAAUCAUCAUGCCCCUUACGUCCCGGGCUACACACGUGCUACAAUGGUCUGUACAGAGGGUAGCGAAAGAGCGAUCUUAAGCCAAUCCCAAAAAGCAGGCCCCAGUUCGGAUUGGAGGCUGCAACUCGCCUCCAUGAAGUAGGAAUCGC